rnacentral:rRNA from 1 species
UACGUAGGUGGCAAGCGUUAUCCGGAAUUAUUGGGCGUAAAGCGCGCGCAGGUGGUUCCUUAAGUCUGAUGUGAAAGCCCCCGGCUCAACCGGGGAGGGUCAUUGGAAACUGGGGAACUUGAGUGUAGAAGAGGAAAGUGGAAUUCCACGUGUAGCGGUGAAAUGCGUAGAGAUGUGGAGGAACACCAGUGGCGAAGGCGACUUUCUGGUCUAUAACUGACACUGGGGGCGCGAAAGCGUGGGGAGCAAACAGG